UGGUGCCCCCAAGGCGAAUUCAUACUCCCUUUUUGAUGUUUUGUGCUCCUGUGUUGACCAUGUCAGUGACUGGUAUGGGACCACAGCUGCUCCCCAACUUCGGGGUCUCAGGGGCAAGCUUAGCUUUUUUGUUAUUCUCACAGACUGUGUAGUAAGGUGUGCCUUAGAGUUAACAUGCUGAAAUGCCUUAGGGCUCUGUGAUCAGCAGGUGGCAAAGCCAUCCAGGCCUGUGUCCUUCCUUCCAGGAUGACAUGUUACCCCAGGCCUCAGGCAAGUCCAGAGGUGCCAUCUGGAAGCCAGGUCAACAACUUCAGGUCAACAACUUUAGAAGUCUAUCUAGUGUUCUGUUGUACUAUGAUUGAGCUGUCCCCCAAACCACAACAUACAGUUCUUCCCACUCUUCCCUCCCCUUUCCAAAGGCAGAGGAGCCUCAUCCCAUGGCCACCACCAACAAA
rnacentral:lncRNA from 1 species